rnacentral:rRNA from 1 species
UACAGAGGGUGCGAGCGUUAAUCGGAAUUACUGGGCGUAAAGCGCGCGUAGGCGGCUUUGCAAGUCGGGUGUGAAAUCCCCAGGCUUAACCUGGGAACUGCAUUCGAGACUGCAUUGCUAGAGUAUGGGAGAGGGAAGUGGAAUUUCCGGUGUAGCGGUGAAAUGCGUAGAUAUCUGGAGGAACACCGGUGGCGAAGGCGGCAUCCUGGACCGGCAUUGACGCUGAGGAGCGAAAGCCAGGGGAGCAAACGGG